rnacentral:lncRNA from 1 species
CUGCCUACGGAUGAGUGAUGGCCGGUGUCGAGGAUGAGGAGGUGUGGUGGACAGGAUAAAGUUGUUGCGGCCGCUAUUUGCAUCAGCUCCUAUCCGCGCAGGCUCGCGAAGUCCCUGCUCUGGCACCCUGCCUCUCCUAGACCUCCCAAUCGUGCACUCUCUCUCUGGCGCCGUUGCGGCCGCAGUCCCUUCUCCAGCGCCUCGCGCCCUGACUCCUAUACCUAACGCACUCUCUCCGAUCUACUACAUCGAGUUCACCAGGCUCCAUCAUGGUAGCUUGCGGCUGUUGGAUGGCCUGAGUAUGUACUUAUCUCUCCUAUUCCUAAUUUGUGGUUUAUUUUAUGGUGAUUUGUAUGUUCGCUAGAUGACCAUAGUUCCUACAUUUUUUUCUUCAUCGUUCGUCUUCCAUUUGUACCUGAAUUCGUUCCUUGCCCACCUGAUGGUUUUGUGUACAGCUAAGAUUCAUUCAUUCAUUCAUUUAUUUAUUUAUUUAUUUAUUUAUUUAUUUAUUUAUUUAUUUGUGAUUUGUGUAGCUA